UACGAAGGGGGCUAGCGUUGUUCGGAAUUACUGGGCGUAAAGCGCACGUAGGCGGGUCGUUAAGUCAGGGGUGAAAUCCCAGAGCUCAACUCUGGAACUGCCUUUGAUACUGGCGACCUAGAGUCCGGAAGAGGUUAGUGGAAUUCCCAGUGUAGAGGUGAAAUUCGUAGAUAUUGGGAAGAACACCAGUGGCGAAGGCGGCUAACUGGUCCGGUACUGACGCUGAGGUGCGAAAGCGUGGGGAGCGAACAGG
rnacentral:rRNA from 1 species